CAGUAGCCACGGGAAUACGUAGGGUGCAAGCGUUAAUCGGAAUUACUGGGCGUAAAGCGUGCGCAGGCGGUUUGUUAAGACAGAUGUGAAAUCCCCGGGCUCAACCUGGGAACUGCAUUUGUGACUGGCAAGCUAGAGUGUGGCAGAGGGGGGUGGAAUUCCGCGUGUAGCAGUGAAAUGCGUAGAUAUGCGGAGGAACACCGAUGGCGAAGGCAGCCCCCUGGGCCAACACUGACGCUCAUGCAUGAAAGCGUGGGGAGCAAACAGGAUUAGAUACCCCCGUAGUCCCUGUCUCUUAUAU
rnacentral:rRNA from 1 species